CUCAGGCACGGCGACUGGCGAGCAGGGAACCAACCCUGGGGGAGCCCUGCCUGGCCGGGCACCACGCCCCGCCGCACGAGGUGUCGUCCGCCUGGGCACCCCGG
rnacentral:ncRNA from 16 species